rnacentral:rRNA from 1 species
AACGAACGCUGGCGGCAUGCCUAACACAUGCAAGUCGAACGAGAUCCUGGUUUCGGCCUGGGUCUAGUGGCGCACGGGUGAGUAGCGCGUGGGAACCUGCCCUUCAGUGGGGGAUAACCGAAUGGGAAACGUCGGCUAAUACCGCAUACGUCCGGGGCCUGGUCUUAGGAUUGGGCUUUGGGGAAAGAUUUAUCGCUGAAGGAGGGGCCCGCGUCGGAUUAGGUAGUUGGUGGGGUAACGGCCUACCAAGCCUGNGAUCCGUAGCUGGUCUGAGAGGAUGAGUCAGCCACACUGGGACUGAGACACGGCCCAGACUCCUACGGGAGGCAGCAGUGGGGAAUAUUGGACAAUGGGCGCAAGCCUGAUCCAGCAAUGCCGCGUGAGUGAUGAAGGCCU